rnacentral:rRNA from 1 species
CCUACGGGUGGCAGCAGUGAGGAAUAUUGGUCAAUGGGCGGAAGCCUGAACCAGCCAAGUAGCGUGCAGGAUGACGGCCCUACGGGUUGUAAACUGUUUUUAUACGGGAAUAACGCGCCUUACUUGUAGAGCUUUGCAUGGACCGUAUCUAUAAGGACCGGCCAAUUACGUGCCAGCAGCCGCGGUAAUACGGAAGGUCCGGUCGUUAUCCGGAUUUAUUGGGUUUAAGGGGAGUGUAGGCCGCAUGUCAAGCGUGCUGUGAAAUGUCCGGGCUCAACCCGGGCCUUGCAGCGCGAACUGGCGUGCUUGAGUGCGCGGAAGGCAGGCGGAAUUCGUCGUGUAGCGGUGAAAUGCGUAGAUAUGACGAGGAACACCGGUUGCGAAGGCAGCUUGCUGCAGCGGAACUGACGCUGAUGCUCGAAAGCGCGGGUAUCGAACAGGAUUAGAUACCCUGGUAGUC